ACUGAAGGAAGCAACAGAAGCCAAGUCAUUUCAGGACUAUUUACUUUCCACCUGUCUGAGGUGUUUACUGCGCUUGAACCAGUCUGGUUGAGGAUGAAUCUCCAGUCGUCAGCCUAACCUCCCCCUUCCGAUCCCUCCAUGGAUUCUUCCUAGAUUCAAGCUCCAAAAAUGAUCAUAGACCGACACUGGCUGUCGUACUUAAGAGACUGAAGACUGUCCGAUGCAUGUUGGUGUCUCCGGCCAAACGUCACAAACAGCCCAACAACCUGAAGACAAUC